UACGGGGGGAGCAAGCGUUGUUCGGAUUUACUGGGCGUAAAGGGCGCGUAGGCGGCCAGCACAAGUCAGUUGUGAAAUCUCCGGGCUUAACUCGGAAAGGUCAACUGAUACUGUGCGGCUAGAGUGCAGAAGGGGCAACUGGAAUUCUCGGUGUAGCGGUGAAAUGCGUAGAUAUCGGGAGGAACACCGGUGGCGAAGGCGGUUCUCUGGGCCUGACCUGACGCUGAGGAGCGAAAGCGUGGGGAGCGAACAGG
rnacentral:rRNA from 1 species